UUUUGGGGGAAAAAAGAUAUUUUCUCUACUUUGCCCUCCAAGGUGGGCAUGGAAAUUAGUAAUACAGAUAGACCAUGGCUCUGAGAAAUUAUAUUUGAAGUUUCAUAUUUAAAUACCAAAGUUUAUUUUAUCACCCCCAUAACUUUCUAACAAGUCUUUCUUAAUGAUAAAUUUUAUCAAUACCCCAAACUCAUUUAAAAUGAUUUAAAAGUAGCAAAUUGGAUAAAGCAACACACAAAUAAAUUCCACAUUUACAAGUAAAGAAAUCACAGGGCUAUAAUCAACAUAAACUUGAAAGAAAUAAAGCAACACCUUGCUGCCACCCAUCAUUCACUGCUUACAUUUGUGGUGAAAAAGAUUUAUCUACAAUGACCUUUAGUCUGUUUCUUAACUCUGUCUGUAUUGUAAUUAGCUAAAGGCAUUGAACAAAUUAGGUUGUUCUAUCUUUUAUUCAGGUCCCAGAGGUAAAUGGCUAACUGAUGAAAUAUUUCACUCUGUGUUAU
rnacentral:lncRNA from 1 species